UGGCUCAGAUUGAACGCUGGCGGCAGGCCUAACACAUGCAAGUCGAGCGGCAGCGGGAAAGUAGCUUGCUACUUUUGCCGGCGAGCGGCGGACGGGUGAGUAAUGCCUGGGAAAUUGCCCAGUCGAGGGGGAUAACAGUUGGAAACGACUGCUAAUACCGCAUACGCCCUACGGGGGAAAGCAGGGGACCUUCGGGCCUUGCGCGAUUGGAUAUGCCCAGGUGGGAUUAGCUAGUUGGUGAGGUAAUGGCUCACCAAGGCGACGAUCCCUAGCUGGUCUGAGAGGAUGAUCAGCCACACUGGAACUGAGACACGGUCCAGACUCCUACGGGAGGCAGCAGUGGGGAAUAUUGCACAAUGGGGGAAACCCUGAUGCAGCCAUGCCGCGUGUGUGAAGAAGGCCUUCGGGUUGUAAAGCACUUUCAGCGAGGAGGAAAGGUCAGUAGCUAAUAUCUGCUGGCUGUGACGUACUCGCA
rnacentral:rRNA from 1 species